UCCCUGAUAGCUCAGUUGGUAAAGAAUCUGCUUGCAAAGCAGGAUACCCGGUUCAAUUCCUGGGUUGGGAA
rnacentral:tRNA from 1 species